UAGGGAAUAUUGGACAAUGGGGGAAACCCUGAUCCAGCAACGCCGCGUGAGUGACGAAGGCCUUCGGGUCGUAAAGCUCUGUCGUACGGGAAAAAGUAAGUGAUGGUACCGUACAAGAAAGGACCGGCCAACUUCGUGCCAGCAGCCGCGGUAAGACGAGGGGUCCUAGCGUUGUUCGGAAUUACUGGGCGUAAAGCGCAUGUAGGCGGCUUGAUAAGUCGGGUGUGAAAUCCCUGGGCUCAACCCAGGACGUGCACUCGAUACUGCCAAGCUUGAGUAUGGGAGAGGGUAGUAGAAUUCCUGGUGUAGUGGUGAAAUACGUAGAUAUCAGGAGGAAUACCGGUGGCGAAGGCGGCUGCCUGGCCCAAUACUGACGUUGAGAUGCGAAAGCGUGGGGAGCAAA
rnacentral:rRNA from 1 species